AAGUCGUAACAAGGUUUCCGUAGGUGAACCUGCGGAAGGAUCAUUAACACUUACUGUCCUAUUGGAUUUAUAUUUUCUUAAAAUAUAUUUUCAAUUUUGACAUGUAUGACAACAAACUGUGCUCCCUUUUUUUCCCACACCUUUCACCAAAUAUAUCAAAUGAUUUUUAUUUAACAGCUUUCGCUUUCUUUUUUGAAAGCAAAAGUAGUUGUAGUAAUGUAAUAGACGUAUAUGGAUUGAUUGUUUUUGUUGAUUCAUUCGACACCAACCAUCAAAACAUAUAUAAAUCUAUGACAGACACAAACAACUGUUAACAAUGGAUAUCUAGGCUCUC
rnacentral:misc_RNA from 1 species